ensembl:lncRNA
ACUGAACCAGGACUGAACCAGGACUGAACCAGGACUGAACCAGGUCUAAACCAGGACUAAACCAGGACUGAACCAGGACUAGACCAGGACUGAACCAGGACUAGACCAGGACUAAACCAGGACUGAACCAGGACUAGACCAGGACUGAACCAGGACUGAACCAGGACUGAACCAGGACUAGACCAGGACUAAACCAGGACUGAACCAGGACUAGACCAGGACUAAACCAGGACUGAACCAGGACUAGACCAGGACUGAACCAGGACUAGACCAGGACUAAUCCAGGACUAAACCAGGACUAGACCAGGACUGAACCAGGACUGAACCAGGACUAGACCAGGACUGAACCAGGACUAGACCAGGACUAAACCAGGACUGAACCAGGACUAGACCAGGACUAAACCAGGACUGAACCAGGACUAGACCAGGACUGAACCAGGACUAGACCAGGACUAAACCAGGACUGAACCAGGACUAGACCACGACUGAACCAGGACUAGACCAGGACUGAACCAGGACUAGACCAGGACUAAACCAGGACUGAACCAGGACUAGACCAGGACUAAACCAGGACUGAACCAGGACUAGACCAGGACUGAACCAGGACUAGACCAGGACUAAUCCAGGACUGAACCAGGACUAAACCAGGACUAAACCAGGACUAGACCAGGAC